GAUGAACGCUGGCGGCGUGCCUAAUACAUGCAAGUCGAACGAACAGGCGAGGCGCGUGCUGCGCUGUAGUUGGCAGCGGACGGGUGAGUCACACGUGAAUAGCCUUUCUCUCUGGCUUAGGUGACUGCGGGAGACCGUAGCUCCGGCCAGGUGAUUUCUCGGACCGCAUAGUUCAUGGGUAAAAUACGGUUUUGCUGUCACUUAUAGGUGUAUCCGGGCGUCAUUAGGUAGUUGGCUAGGUAACGACGUACCAAGGCAACGAUGGGUAGACGACCUGAGAGAGUGAUAGGCCACCCGGGAACUGAGACAGCGUCACGAGUACUAAGGGACGCAGCAGUCGGGAACCUUACGCAAUGGGGGAAAGCCUGACGGAGCAAGGCCGCGUGAGUGAUGACGGCCUCCGGAUCGUAAAACACUGUUAUGAGGGAAGAACAUAUGUGUAAGUAACUGUGCACAUCUUGACGGUACCUAAUCAGAAAGCCACGGCUAACUACGUG
rnacentral:rRNA from 1 species